rnacentral:rRNA from 1 species
GAUGAACGCUGGCGGCGUGCCUAAUACAUGCAAGUAGAACGCUGAAGGAAGGAGCUUGCUCUUUCCGGGUGAGUUGCGAACGGGUGAGUAACGCGUAGGUAACCUGCCUGGUAGCGGGGGAUAACUAUUGGAAACGAUAGCUAAUACCGCAUAACAGUAGAUGUUGCAUGAUAUCUACUUAAAAGGUGCAAUUGCACCACUACCAGCUGGACCUGCGUUGUAUUAGGUAGUUGGUGAGGUAACGGCUCACCAAGGCGACGAUACAUAGGCGACCUGGGAGGGUGAUCGGCCACACUGGGACUGGGACACGGCCCAGACUCCUACGGGAGGCAGCAGUAGGGAAUCUUCGGCAAUGGACGGAAGUCUGACCGAGCAACGCCGCGGGAGGGAAGAAGGUUUUCGGAUCGUAAAGCUCUGUUGUAAGAGAAGAACGAGUGUGAGAGUGGAAAGUUCACACUGUGACGGUAUCUGACCAGAAAGGGACGGCUAACUACGUG